AUUGAACGCUGGCGGCAGGCCUAACACAUGCAAGUCGAGCGGCUGCAGGGAGCUUGCCACUGGAUUCCGCGUCGGGCGGGGGUGUGAAGUAUAGGAAUCUGCGUGCUGGUGGGGGAUAAAGUCCGGCGACGGGCGCUAUAACAGCACACGCGCUGUGGGAGAGAGAGGGGGAUAUUCGGAGGCCUCGCUAUCUGAUGAGCCUAGGUCGGAUUAGCUAGUUGGUGGGGUAAAGGCCUACCAAGGCGACGAUCCGUAGCUGGUCUGAGAGGAUGAUCAGUCACACUGGAACUGAGACACGGUCCAGACUCCUACGGGAGGCAGCAGUGGGGAAUAUUGGACAAUGGGCGAAAGCCUGAUCCAGCCAUGCCGCGUGUGUGAAGAAGGUCUUCGGAUUGUAAAGCACUUUAAGUUGGGAAGAAGGGCAGUGAGUCAAUACCGUCCUGUGUUGACGUUACCAACAGAAUAAGCACCGGCUAACUACGUG
rnacentral:rRNA from 1 species